GACCACAAUUCUUUCAAAGUGGCUUAUGAGGCUAACUCCUUAUGAGAAGUUUGCUGCUUUUGUCCCAGAUAAACAUACAACUCACAGGAAAUUUUAAAUGAAUAACACCUAGCUAUUUCAGGCACUUACAAAAUAAUAACAAGACAAUAACAAUAACAUAUAUCCACAACAGUAGCAGGCCUGCCACUUCCAGAUUAUUUUAGAAGAGGAAUAGGUUUAUGGUACUGAAAAUGCUCCCAGAUCUUCAGUCAGGGAAGCAACAUUGGUGUUUCAACCUCUUUUAGGACUGUGUGUGGCUCCCCCCCCCCACUUGAGUAUGGCCUUAACGACAAAUUGAUUUGAAACAACUGAGUUUUAGAUAUCACCUUAUUACAAGUUCAGUUACCUAGGAAACCACACUAUACUGGUGGGACAUGCUGUCCGUUUUUGUUCCUGCUGAAAAUAUUAAAGCAUAUCAACUCUUCCCCCCUCCAAAAAAAGGACUCUCUGGCUUCAUCUGUGAAACAAUCCCUGUGUGCAGCCGCCAUCUGGCUUCUGUAAUGGAGAAAAAGGGCAGUUGGUGGUUCUACUGGUAUCUGUGAAGGGUGGGGCAGUCCUACCUGAAGAAGCACUGGAAGCAGGAGGAGAUCAUGAUGGUGACUGAUGCUUCACCUUGCUGACUUCUUCUGUUAUGACUGGUUGGGUUCAGAUAUCAUGCGGAACCACUCUUUGUUUUAACUAAGGUUUAUUUAACAAACCUGAACUGGUAACACAGAUGAUCACCAAAUCUUAGUUUGUUUCACCAUGUUGUAGUUUGUUUCGGUCAGGGGCAUAACUAUAAUAGG